rnacentral:rRNA from 1 species
UCACCUCAUGCGCAGCUUACACAUGCAAGUCGAGCGGUAGCACAGGGGAGCUUGCUCCCCGGGUGACGAGCGGCGGACGGGUGAGUAAUGUCUGGGAAACUGCCUGAUGGAGGGGGAUAACUACUGGAAACGGUAGCUAAUACCGCAUAACGUCGCAAGACCAAAGAGGGGGACCUUCGGGCCUCUUGCCAUCAGAUGUGCCCAGAUGGGAUUAGCUAGUAGGUGGGGUAAUGGCUCACCUAGGCGACGAUCCCUAGCUGGUCUGAGAGGAUGACCAGCCACACUGGAACUGAGACACGGUCCAGACUCCUACGGGAGGCAGCAGUGGGGAAUAUUGCACAAUGGGCGCAAGCCUGAUGCAGCCAUGCCGCGUGUGUGAAGAAGGCCUUCGGGUUGUAAAGCACUUUCAGCGAGGAGGAAGGUGGUGAGCUUAAUACGCUCAUCAAUUGACGUUACUCGCAGAAGAAGCACCGGCUAACUCCGUGCCAGCAGCCGCGGUAAUACGGAGGGUGCAAGCGUUAAUCGGAAUUACUGGGCGUAAAGCGCACGCAGGCGGUUUGUUAAGUCAGAUGUGAAAUCCCCGGGCUCAACCUGGGAACUGCAUUUGAAACUGGCAAGCUAGAGUCUCGUAGAGGGGGGUAGAAUUCCAGGUGUAGCGGUGAAAUGCGUAGAGAUCUGGAGGAAUACCGGUGGCGAAGGCGGCCCCCUGGACGAAGACUGACGCUCAGGUGCGAAAGCGUGGGGGAGCAAACAGGAUUAGA